GGCAUUCGGAACUCCUCGGCCAUUUUUUUCAAUUUUUUUUUGUUGAGUUUGUUAUUAAAUUAAAUGAAUGACAUGUUGCAAUUAGUGUGAAAUUGUUAAAAUCUGCAACUUCAAAACAGUCAAAGAUGUCCAUCCCGGAUGUUUGAGUCCGCCAAGUUGAUGCUCAACAGGAGUAGGCAGUUGAUACCAUUAAUCUGAUAGCACCUGCUAUAUCAGUGGUUUUACAAGAUAUUUUUGUGCAAAACACAAGAGACGGAAUCGGUCCAAGAACAGAGAUAACAUAAAUGAAGUGUGUCAAUAUGAAUGAAAACUUUCCUUGACUGCAAGGACUAAAGAAAUGCACACAAGUGACAUAAAUUUAAAUGUUUGGUACAAAAAGUAGACAUUUAGAACUUAAAAUUAUGACACAGGAUGUGAAACAACACUUUAUAGCCGAUAACUGUCGAACAAGAGAUUUUUCAAAAAGAAGCAAGAUGUGUUUUUUUAACCCUUGGCAAAUGAACCUUUAAAGGGAUUAUUGCAUACCAAGGACAAUUUAUUGUUAUUGAAUUAUAUCAUGUUUAAUGUUGUUAUUAAAUUGUAAAAAAUAC